rnacentral:rRNA from 1 species
UACGGAGGAUGCAAGCGUUAUCCGGAUUUAUUGGGCUUAAAGGGUGCGUAGGCGGAUUAUUAAGUCAGUGGUGAAAUCCUGUAGCUUAACUGCAGAACUGCCAUUGAUACUGAUGAUCUUGAGUACAGUUGAGGUGGGCGGAAUGUGUCAUGUAGCGGUGAAAUGCGUAGAUAUGACACAGAACACCGAUGGCGAAGGCAGCUCGCUGAGCUGUAACUGACGCUGAGGCACGAAAGCGUGGGGAUCAAACAGG